UACAGAGGUGGCAAGCGUUGUUCGGAAUUACUGGGCGUAAAGGGCGCGUAGGUGGCCUUCUUAGUCAGACGUGAAAUCCCCAGGCUUAACCUGGGAACUGCGUCUGAUACUGGAAGGCUCGAGUUCGGGAGAGGAAUGUGGAAUUCCAGGUGUAGCGGUGAAAUGCGUAGAUAUCAGGAGGAACACCGGUGGCGAAGGCGGCAUCCUGGACCAUUACUGACGCUGAGGCGCGAAAGCUAGGGGAGCAAACGGG
rnacentral:rRNA from 1 species